rnacentral:rRNA from 1 species
AACGAACGCUGGCGGCAGGCCUAACACAUGCAAGUCGAACGCUCUAGCAAUAGAGAGUGGCGCACGGGUGCGUAACGCGUGGGAAUAUGCCCUUGACUACGGAACAACAUCGGGAAACUGAUGCUAUUACCGUAUAAUGUCUUCGGACCAAAGAUUUAUCGGUCAAGGAUUAGCCCGCGUCUGAUUAGCUAGUUGGUGAGGUAAUGGCUCACCAAGGCGACGAUCAGUAGCUGGUCUGAGAGGAUGAUCAGCCACACUGGGACUGAGACACGGCCCAGACUCCUACGGGAGGCAGCAGUGAGGAAUAUUGGACAAUGGGCGCAAGCCUGAUCCAGCCAUGCCGCGUGAGUGAUGAAGGCCUUCGGGUUGUAACGCUCUUUCAGAUGCGAAGAUAAUGACGGUAACAUCAGAAGAAGCCCCGGCUAAAUUCGUGCCAGCAGCCGCGGUAAU